UCGACCGCCAUUUUAGUUAUAGAAUUUGUCACGGAUCAUCGUGUGAUAUAUUGACCGGCUGUUAGACACUGUCCUAACCAACAAAAAAAAUCGCUUUUUUCACACAACUUUAACCAAGUUUUGCGUACUCGUAAAUUUAGUUGAUCGUAUAAAAUAUUUUUCCAUACACGCGAAUGCCUUAGUCUUGAUAGGAACGUCAUCCAUUAUUGAAAUACGUUAUUAACCGUUAGAUUGUUUUGCUGAUUUUGUGAACAACCAAUCAAUUCUUGCUACUAGCUGAAGGCUUUUUGUCAAAAUUUGGAAUCUUGCAAUUUAAUUAUUUUAUCUUAUACAAGUUUCUGGCAUGUGUCAGCCAAUAGGGUCCAGCAAUGGCAUGGUCCCCUUUCACUGUAGGGUGACCUACGUCCUUCAUAAUUUAAAAUGUCUAGCUAUGUGUUAGAACAAGAUAUUACAUGGAGGUGAAGCAUCAAUAGGAGACUUGAUUUGUCAACUGUUGGUUGAGAUGACUAAAGACAUGGAGUGGAUCACAAUUUCAUUUCCACACUCAUCUUUGGAGCCCUGGGGUGUCCACAGUUGUAGCGGUACAUAACUGUCUGUUCAGGCCACAAAUAAUGAAUGUCAAAUCUAUCCACAUCUGACAUGGAGACAAGUACCAUAUCAUACAUAAAAAUGCCUGAAGAUAAAAAUGGAUUAGAGGCAUGUUGGAGUGAUGUUCUAGAAAGCAGCAUCCCAAGGGCAAGAAUCUGAAUCUAAAGGCUGGUCAACACAAUAUAUAUUUUGUAACUUCGUUUUCUUUCAUUGAUGAUGAAAUUGAAUUAAAUUUGAAAUUGAAAGUUAUUGAAGCAAUUUGCCGACCAAUACGAUGGAACGUGUGAAGAGUUGACGAAAUGUCUGAACGAAGCAACAUUCAAAAGUUGGAAUAAAGUCAGGAAACUGCUUGCAUGUUAAAACAUAGAAUAUCUGAGUUUACAGUGCAAGAAAUUUCAGGCUUGUGGCACGAUAAAGGCAGUAGAUGGUGGGAAUUUGCAUUAUAAAUCAAAAUUGUGCGUCAAGUACUUGUUGUCUGUUGACCACUAAAUAAUAGUUCUAGUUAGUAUAUCUUAAAAUUGAUUUCUUCUUUGAUAUUAUUAAAAGUCAAUACAAAAAAGAUGUAAAGGAA